AUUGAAAACAAACAGAUAGGACCGUGCCAUCUGUACAUAUAUACGAGUCAAGAGUUUAUUUAGUUAGUAUGUGAAGGAACUUAAUUCGAACAUAGCUACCACCCAAAUUACGAAUAUGUUGGGCUAUAUUUUAUAUAUUCUGUGACUAUAUCUGAAGUGUUGUGAUAAUAAUCUGUAUAUAUAUACGAGUGUACAGUUUAUUAAAAUAUUUUCAACGUAUCUUUCGUUUGGUUGUGUGUAAAUAUACUUAUUUAAUUCAAAUACUGCUACCACACAAAAUAUAGUGUGUUACAUAUUUCUGUGACUAUAUUUGAAGUGUCGUUAUAAUGAUUUCCUUAGGAAUAUUAUGUGCAGUAGUUAUUUAUUAUACGGCUCAGCUUCAUCCAUUGUUAACUUUGUUUUUGUUAAUUAUCAUACCGAAGCAUUUCUCUCUAAUACUGUAACAAUGGUGUGAAAACAAUUGAAUAAAUAUUAAAUGCAAAGAAUAUAUUCGAAGAGCAACUAUUAUGAAAUGAUAUAUUUAUGUGACUAGAUAAAUAAUAAAAACGAAUUAAGGGUAAAACAAAAAGAAAAUCCUGCCAAAAGAAAUGGAGAUAGAGUAAUGAUUGUUUACUUCAAGUAUAACAUUAGAACGUGAUGUAAAGUAUAUUAUAAUACCACAAUAAGCGGCGACAGCUUAGUUGGACUGUUGGACAUUAGCUAAAGAGUGAGUCAGCAAACGAGGCUUUGGAGAUGUUUUAAGAGGGACGCAGCUGCCCAUUCAUCGACAAUAGUUGCCUCUUGCGACGAAACCCACGAAAAAGGAAGAGGUGAUCCAUUCUAUACUGGGACCACACGGCAAACUGUCAAGACGAACACAGGAAUAAACUCUAUGCAUCAUAAAAAAAUUACAUAAAAACGUGCACGCAAAAAAUACAAUAAAUUGUUUAAACUAAUACCAACUUAUUGACCUGUAUAAAGAUAUUUUAAACAAAUAUAUUAUUAUAAUAAUAUGUAAAGAAAAAAACGUAAAAAAAUGUUCAUGA
rnacentral:lncRNA from 1 species